UGGCUAUAAUUGAUAUUUUUUAAAAACAGAAAACCUAUUUGUAAUUCUCAAGUAUGGUAGUGGAAUAGUCGUCAUUUAGGCGCCCAAACAUUUCACUGCUUUUCCCUAACCUUCCUCAAUCAUUUCUUUUAAUUCUCACUGCGUUAACCCAUUGAUAAUUCUCAUUUUUCACCCAUAAUUCUCCAAGUUUGAAUGCUCCUUCCUUCAUCUUGCAUUUUCAGGUGCUUUCGAAGAUGAGCUUGGUUGUCGUACUGACUGCGUAACAAAAGAUGAUCCUUGGAGCUGUAUGUAAAUUAUUAAGGUUAUUAUUGCCGUCAUUUGGAUUGAUUUGUAUCUUCAAUCUGUCUCAGAUUCGGAACCUGUGAAACAAGAGUUGUUUACUUGUUGGAUCACAAAUGUGAUAUAUUACCAAUGUGCAUACUAUUUGCAAAGAAGGUGCACUUGGUCUUUACAAAGGGCUCGGAGGAACACGUUUAGUAUUGUCAUUUUUUCGUUCUUAUGGUGUUAAUGAAGAUGUUCAAUGAGCUUUUGAAUAAUUAACCUAUGUGCACAAUACGCUGACCUAUGCGCACAAGAAACUGACCUACUAAUUGAUGACCAUAUACUCUGUUAUGGUUUUGUUUAAUAUCGCCAUUUUGUGCUCCAGUACGUACUUCAUGUUCAUUCAUUGAUUUGUUGCUCUUUGUUGUACAAUUGUGCAAAUGUUGCUUUGAAUUAUUGCUUGUAUAUUAUUCAAUUACUUUUAGUUGUUACUGUGUACUUCCAGCAUACCCAUGUAAUUUAGAUUAGUCAUAUACAUGUCCCUAGGCUACUACCUUUAGUUUCUUUCUUUUUUUUUUUUUUAUUAUUUUUAAAUUUUUUUUUUAAUUUUGUCUUGGUGGAGGGGUGUUGCACCUGGUUGGUUGUUGGGUGUGGUUUCGUAUAUUCAUUGUGUGUUGAUUUGAUAAGUGAGGGAGAUCAAACUACUUUUAACUGAUAAAGUGUUAAAAGGACUUCAAAUUAAGUUGUUUGGAAUAAGAGCAUCAAAUUAAGGGACCUAUUAAUGUGUAAUUGAUAGUUUAUACUUAGCUAUUUGGAAUAAAAGCAUGAGCUGACAUAAUACAAUAUAUUUGUUGUUGACUUACUGCAAUAUUCAAAUUUUUUUAUUUGUUCGAAGUGUGGUUGUUUGUUUUGAGGUACUACUGGAUCAGUCUGCAUAAGAUUGUCUUAUUUGCAUACUUUUUUACUUGAAAUGAAAUUCAAGCUUUACAAUUUCGUAGACUAAAUUAUGGUUGCAUAAACUUAGUUCCAAUUGCGAGCUUGCAUUUGAUUAAUGAUAACGACACUAAAUAAAUUGAAUUAUUACUUUUUGU